GCCUAGGUCACCUCACACAGGUCCCAGCGCUCCCCAAACAGCAGGUGCACAAGACACCCGUCACUUAUCACCCUCCCUAAUGGGAUCCGAGGAGAGAAGAAGCUAGCUGUCUUUAUGCUUCAUGCCUGUGUACACAGCCCUGCAUUCUGUACAGCAGCCCAGUUAUGUGGGAGGGAACACAUUAGGAGGCUUUUGAAGCAGCGGACACUGCAGAUGUGACAGUCCAGGCCUGGGUAAACUACGGCCCAAGUAGAUGUUUAUCGACAAGGUGAACGGCCAGCCCGUCCCGCACUACCUGAUCUAUGACAUCAUUAAAUUCAACGGUAGGCCAGUGUGAUUUCAAUAUUCGGCUAUUGUGAAAAGAGAAAGAGAUCAUCUCCCCUAGGGUGGAGAAGAUGAAGACGGGACAGAUCGACAAGACCAAGGAGCCCUUCAGUGUCAGGAACAAGCCAUUCUUCGACAUCCAUGCAGCACGAAAGCUCUGUGUAACAGCAUCCAGCAUCCUGUCACAAAAGAAAACCUCUGAGUUUCUGGACCGCUGUGCCCAGACACAGAGCUCAUGCCCCGUACUGAUCCAAAGAGACCCAACCGGGCCGCACCACACAGCGGGGGUGGGCCGGGCCAGUGUAGCAGUGUAUCUAUGUGGCUUGCAGAGCGAGGUCAUUCAUGGCUACAGCCCGCCCCCUUCCUCCCCCCUCAGAGACACAGACAUUUGAAAAGCCCCUCUUAUCUGUGACCAUUUGAUUAUCAGCCUCUUACAGGCCCUCUUAACUAAAAAUAUUGGAUUGAAUAACUUAUAGAUCCUGUUAGAUAUCCCCAUGUAGUGCCUUAGCUUUAAUUUCAGUGGUUCUUAUUAAAGAUAAAAUACAUAAUGGUGAAUUUAGAUUUUAUUUAUUUUAUAUUUCCCUUUUUUUAACGGUCUCCCAACUAAUCUAUUGAUCAACAACAGAGGAAUUGGUGUUUUAACUACGGCAGCAACUGACUGUUUUUCCUAGCUGUUUAUUUGUAUUUGGAAUGGCGGUAAUCAGAUGGGAAACAACCACCUGACCCCUCCUUUCUAUAUUUUCUCUCCCAGCAGUGAAGUGAAGGAAUGCAUAAGCAAAUAUUUCAAAGGUAUUGUUUAGUAGCAAGAGAGAGCUAUUCCUCUGAGAUAUUCUUCUGACACACAGUGAUACAUCGGGUUGACAACAUGAAUAACCAUGACAAGAUGUCUCCACAGUAUGGGUGUAACAAACACACUCUGCCUCCACAUGACGUCACAUAUCCAUAUCGUCAGACCCCAGAAUAGACUCGGUAACCGCUUGGGAAAUGUCAUGAUGGAAACACGCCUCUCCUUUGUUUUUCUUCUUCGUUUUUUUUCUUCAAUGUGUGUACAGAAUAAUAACAUUUCAACACUUGCUUUAUUUUAACAGAUACCCCAAUUAAGGACUGCCCUAGAUCAUAACAGACUGGUUUACUCCUGAAUUUGUUGUUUGAUUGGAUCCAUUAAAACAAUACAUCAUG